rnacentral:rRNA from 1 species
GACGAACGCUGGCGGCGUGCUUAACACAUGCCAGUCGAACGGAAAGGCCCUGCUUUUGUGGGGUGCUCGAGUGGCGAACGGGUGAGUAACGCGUGAGUAACCUGCCCUUGACUUUGGGAUAACUUCAGGAAACUGGGGCUAAUACCGGAUAGGAGCUCCUGCUGCAUGGUGGGGGUUGGAAAGUUUCGGCGGUUGGGGAUGGACUCGCGGCUUAUCAGCUUGUUGGUGGGGUAGUGGCUUACCAAGGCUUUGAUGGGUAGCCGGCCUGAGAGGGUGACCGGCCACAUUGGGACUGAGAUACGGCCCAGACUCCUACGGGAGGCAGCAGUGGGGAAUAUUGCACAAUGGGCGGAAGCCUGAUGCAGCAACGCCGCGUGCGGGAUGACGGCCUUCGGGUUGUAAACCGCUUUCGCCUGUGACGAAGCGUGAGUGACGGUAAUGGGUAAAGAAGCACCGGCUAACUACGUG